AGCGAACGCUGGCGGCAGGCCUAACACAUGCAAGUCGAACGAACCUUUCGGGGUUAGUGGCGGACGGGUGAGUAACACGUGGGAACGUGCCUUUAGGUUCGGAAUAACUCAGGGAAACUUGUGCUAAUACCGAAUGUGCCCUUCGGGGGAAAGAUUAAUCGCCUUUAGAGCGGCCCGCGUCUGAUUAGCUAGUUGGUUGAGGUAAUGGCUCACCAAGGCGACGAUCAGUAGCUGGUCUGAGAGGAUGAUCAGCCACAUUGGGACUGAGACACGGCCCAAACUACUACGGGAGGCAGCAGUGGGGAAUCUUGCGCAAUGGGCGAAAGCCUGACGCAGCCAUGCCGCGUGAAUGAUGAAGGUCUUAGGAUUGUAAAAUUCUUUCACCGGGGACGAUAAUGACGGUACCCGGAGAAGAAGCCCCGGCUAACUUCGUG
rnacentral:rRNA from 1 species